rnacentral:rRNA from 1 species
GACGAACGCUGGCGGCGUGCUUAACACAUGCAAGUCGAACGGAAAGGCCCUGCUUUUGUGGGGUGCUCGAGUGGCGAACGGGUGAGUAACACGUGAGUAACCUGCCCUUGACUUUGGGAUAACUUCAGGAAACUGGGGCUAAUACCGGAUAGGAGCUCCUGCUGCAUGGUGGGGGUUGGAAAGUUUCGGCGGUUGGGGAUGGACUCGCGGCUUAUCAGCUUGUUGGUUGGGUAGUGGCUUACCAAGGCUUUGACGGGUAGCCGGCCUGAGAGGGUGACCGGCCACCAUGGGACUGAGAUACGGCCCAGACUCCUACGGGAGGCAGCAGUGGGGAAUAUUGCACAAUGGGAGGAAGCGUGAUGCAGCAACGCCGCGUGCGGGAUGACGGCCUUCGGGUUGUAAACCGCUUUCGCCUGUGACGAAGCGUGAGUGACGGUAAUGGGUAAAGAAGCACCGGCUAACUACGUG